rnacentral:tRNA from 1 species
GGGGAUUUAGCUCAGUGGCAUAAGCACCUGCCUUGCAAGCAGGAGGUCAUGAGUUCAGUUCCCG